rnacentral:rRNA from 1 species
GAUGAACGCUGGCGGCGUGCCUAAUACAUGCAAGUCGAGCGAACAGACGAGGAGCUUGCUCCUCUGACGUUAGCGGCGGACGGGUGAGUAACACGUGGAUAACCUACCUAUAAGACUGGGAUAACUUCGGGAAACCGGAGCUAAUACCGGAUAAUAUAUUGAACCGCAUGGUUCAAUAGCGAAAGACGGUUUUGCUGCUACUUAUAGAUGGAUCCGCGCCGCAUUAGCUAGUUGGUAAGGUAACGGCUUACCAAGGCGACGAUGCGUAGCCGACCUGAGAGGUGGAUCGGCCCCACUGGAACUGGAACACGGUCCAGACUCCUACGGGAGGCAGCAGUAGGAAAUCUUCCGCAAUGGGCGAAAGCCUGACGGAGCAACGCCGCGUGAUUGAUGAAGUUCUUCGGUUCGUAAAACUCUGUUAUUGGGGAAGAACAAUUGUGUAAGUAACUAUGCACGUCUUGACGGUACCUAAUCAGAAAGCCACGGCUAACUACGUG